rnacentral:lncRNA from 1 species
AGAAAUGAGAGACCACGUCUUAUUUUACAAGGAAAUAUUGAAGCAGUUGUUUUAGUUAUUGGUUUGUUUAAAAAAUUGAAAAAUUAACGAAAAAGUGCGUGGUAAAACAGUAACAUUUCCCUAUGGAUUAUCUUUUAAAGAAAUCUGAAAUUAUUGUCAAAAUAGUUGAAUCAAGGCCAACAACAUUGAGCAUGUCGAUAUCUGUCUGGUCUGUUACAGUGAAUUCAUUACUCGCCAUUCCAACAUUCACGAGACGAGCACGUGGUAUAUCAAGUUCCUCCCUGUAUUGUCGCAUAGAAGCCGAUGGGUUCACAUUGUUAUUAA